ensembl:snRNA
AUGUUGUAUGAAAGGAGAGGUUAGCAUUCUAUUCCUCCUGACAAAGAUGGAAGAGGAUCCAUUGGCCUUUACAUAAGGCACUGCCACCUACCCUGUGGCAUCUCAUGAUUAUAAUAA